UACUUCCCCCGCGAGCCCGACCUGCUCCUCCCCCUCGCCUCACCAUCUCCCUCCCUGGGUUCCUCCUCCAGGCCCUCCCCAAGAAUCUCCCGGCCACCGACGCCCAUUGGCUGUGAGCGGGGAGGAGGCGUGUGCCGCGCUGGGCGAGUUUCAUUGAGCGGAAUUAGCCCGGAUGACAUCAGCUUCCCACCCUCCCGGGCGCGCCCAGCUCAUUGGCGCGGCGGCCCCUCCAGGACCCGCACAUUGUUCCCCGCCCCCGCCUCGGCCACCGCCGCCGCGAUCGCCGCAGCCACCGGCCUAUAAAAACCGGCGAAGCCCGGAAAGGUGCGGAUGCUUAUUAUAGACGGACGCGGCAGCAGCGCCCAGAGCCGGGUUCUUCGCUGCAGCUUUUGGGAACGAGCUCCUAUAAUUGCAUCCACAGAUUCAAUGGAACAUCCCAGGAGACACCUCCUACCUGUUUCCAGCUGUGGAAUGGAUGCCCUGGGCCCAGGGCCUGGCCAGGGUCUGGUUGCUACCAGGUUUGGACCCUCAAAUUGAAAUAUAGCCUCCAUGAAGCAGAGACCUUUAUUCAUCUGAUCAAAAAUGUAGAACACUGCCCAGCACAUAUGAAUCAUGGAGGAGAGAGAGCGACCCCGCCCCCAAAACAGAACAAAACAAAACAAAACCCACUUUUUGCAACUACAAAGAAAGACUCCAGAGAAAUUCAUUUGGAAACAUGUAGCUGAGUGGAAUGCACCUGGCCUACUUCAAUGUCCAUCCCCUUUCCCCUACAAAGGAGAAGAAGACCCACAUUGGCCAUCAUCUCUGCUCUUCCCACCCCCACCUUGAAGCAGAGGCUCAGGCAGGUGGGGCUGGGCCAGCAGCUGGAGGCUCACAUGUCCUGGGAGAAGAGACAGGAGAGUCAGCCACUGUCUUUAUGUUUCCCCACCCUGGAGCCAGGCUGGGCUGCCAUGCUGCCCACUUCUACUCAAGGCCCCAGAGCUGGGCAGUGGACUCACUCAGCAAGUCUUCUUGGGAUGAAAGCACAGAGAGGACAGCACCUCGGAGAGUCAUCCCAGAUCCACUCAGAGGCAGAGAAGCACCCAACCACAGAAAGAGCCAGAGAGGACUACAGACCCCUAUGCUCUAACGUGCUGAAACACACAUUUGGUCUUCCAAGUCCAUCUAAGUGUCAUGGUGUUUGGGGAGCACUGGGAAGCUGGCAUGCACCCCAGCAUCUCCCCACCAGCUGUCCGUGCAGCUCAGCAUUCCUCCUGUUAACACCACUGCUUGGAUAGUGGUGGUGUGUCCAGAAAGCCCUGCACAAUCGUCAUUGCCUGGGAGGGAUAUGCAGUCCUACAAUGGCCAGCUAUAAAGUAUCAUCGAUGACUGGUCAGUCAAGUGGGGGCCAGAGAGCCUGGAACAGGUGAAUUCUACCUGGAAGGGAACCAGGGGAGGCCAGGAAGAAAGGAAGCAUGAGCCUAACAGGGCCAGGGUCAUGAAGGUCAGAAGUAAGUUUGAACAGGGACACUGAAGGGUGUAUGAGUUAGGACACAAGUGACCAAGAAAGCUCCAAGCCGGUGGCUUAGAAAAGUUAAAGUCUGAGGGAGGAGGGGUGACCCAGGGCUGGUCUGGAGGCUUGAUGGUAUUGAGGACCCAGUCGCUUCCCUCUUGUGGCCCUGCUGUCUUCAACACAUCCUCAUCUGUGGCCCAGAGGACAACUCCAACCAUAUUCUAGGAAACCAGAAUGGAGACCAGUGGGCCUUCUGCCUCCCUUAUACACAGAAGGUAUAUCUGUCACUUCUGCUCAUGCUCCAUGGGGUAGGACUUAGCCGUAUGGUCACAUCUAACUGCAGAAGAGGCAGAAAAAUGUGCCCUUCAUCUGGGUGGCUCUGUGCUAGUUGAAACUACUAUUACUAAUGGCAGGUGAGCAGUUACUGGAGGAAAUGAGCAGUCCACCUCACAUAGGGCUGACAAAAGCAGGCCCCACUCAAGCUGCCCGGCAGCCUCAGUGUCAGGCUUACCAUAUGCCCUCAACAAACAUUUGCUGUGGACCAAAAACAGGCUGAAAUCCUUUUUCUAAGGGAAAGGGCAUGAGUUUCUACAUGAGUGCUGUGGAAAAGAGAAAUUUUAAAUAAAAAUUGUAAAUUUCGAUAACACUUGCAGGUUUGUAGGGCCAUUUACAUUUACCUUCAUUGUCCCCUUUAAAAUGAGGAGCCAGUGAGAUGUACAUGAUCUCCACUUCACAGGCAAGGAGAUGGCAGCUCCUGGGCUUGGCAUGCUCACUAUAAAGGCAGAGCCCAGAGGUCUCUAAACGGCUCUCUUUACCCUACUAUGUGGACAGGACAAGCUCUGUCCCCACAGCUCCUGUCACUGAUAAACUAACCUGUUACAUGACCCCAUUUGAUAUGGGCCUUUGCUCAUGCCCAGCCAUUGGGAAAAUACCCCAUUUUUCCAAGAUCUAUUGCAGAUAAUCUCUGCAUGCUCAGUACCCUCACUGGAGUGGGUGCAGACUCAGCCAGACUCAGAUUCAACAGCCCAUCUGGAGCUCAUUGCAGGGCACAUCAUCUUCCAGCUUAUCCACAUGGCCUGUCACCAUGGAUAACAGCCUAGCCCUGAAAGCACAGCUUUGUUUGUGGAAUGUUAUAAAGGAAAAGGGGAAAAAAACCUAUAACCUACAUAAGGCACAUGGAGUCCAGUGGGAUCCAACCUCCUCAAACUCAAGAUGAUGGGCGCCGAAUGCAGACACUGACAACUGAGAUGUACGCGUAUCACCCAAGUGUAAGAACACGGCCAAGAUCAACAACGUUUGAAGGAGCUAUCCCACAAAAUUCACAUUCACCUAAAUCAUUGAUGACCUAGACUCUUUCUAGUUCCGCCUAAUAAAAAAUUUUAAAACAUG